CGUGCCUAAUACAUGCAAGUCGAGCGAGAAGCUUGGGAAUGACGCUUCGGUUGAUUUUCCAAGCGGACAGCGGCGGACGGGUGAGUAACGCGUAGGCAACCUGCCCCUGGCAGAGGGAUAGCCAUUGGAAACGAUGAUUAAAACCUCAUGACACCGUAGUAGCACAUGCUACAUCGGUCAAAGAUUUAUCGGUCAGGGAUGGGCCUGCGUCUGAUUAACUGGUUGGUGAGGUAACGGCUCACCAAGGUGACGAUCAGUAGCCGACCUGAGAGGGUGAUCGGCCACAUUGGAACUGAGACACGGUCCAAACUUCUACGGAAGGCAGCAGUAGGGAAUCUUGCACAAAUGGGCGAAAAGCCCUGAUGCAAGCAAACCGCCGCGUGAAAGGAAGAAAGGC
rnacentral:rRNA from 1 species